CCCUUAGAUGCCCUGGGCCGCACGCGCGCUACACUGAGUGUCUGAGAUACGAGUCUGCCUGGUCCGGCAAGGUCUAGGUAAUCGCUAAAAGACACAUCAUGCUUGGGAUAGAUUUUUGCAAAUAUUAAUCUUGAACGAGGAAUUCCUAGUAAGCGCAAGUCAACAGCUUGCGUUGAUUACGUCCCUGCCCUUUGUACACACCGCCCGUCGCUACUACUGAUUGGAUGUUUAAGCGAGGUUCUCGAACUGCUAGCGACUUAGCUUCGGUGAGGUCGCAGUGUGGGAAGUGAACCGAGCUUUGGUGUCUAGAGGAAGUAAAAGUCGUAACA
rnacentral:rRNA from 1 species